rnacentral:rRNA from 1 species
CAAUAGCGUAUACUAACGUUGUUGACAGUUAAAAGCUCGUAGUUGGAUUUCUGUGUUGGUGAGGCGGCCGGCCAUUCGUGGUUGUAGCUAGUUAUCACCGGCGCAUCUUGUCACAAGCCACGCUGGCCUUAACUGGUUGGCGUUGGGGACUGACUCGUUUACUUUGAGAAAAUUAGAGUGUUCAAAGCAGGCUAUCGCCUUGAAUAUGUUAGCAUGGAAUAAUGAUAUAGGACUUUGGUUCUAUUUUGUUGGUUGUUCGAGAACCGAAGUAAUGAUUGAUAGGGACAGUUGGGGGCAUCAGUAUUCUGAAGCGAGAGGUGAAAUUACUUGGACCCUUCGGAAGACUAAACAACUAGCGAAGACAUUGUCCUAGGAUGUUCUCUUAAUUCAAGAACGAAAGUUAGGGGAGUCGAAGACGAUUAGAUACCGU